rnacentral:rRNA from 1 species
GACGAACGCUGGCGGCGUGCUUAACACAUGCAAGUCGAACGGAAAGGCCUGCUUUCCCUUGUGGAUUGCGGGUACUCGAGUGGCGAACGGGUGAGUAACACGUGAGUGAUCUGCCCCCAACUUGGGUAUAAGCCUGGGAAACUGGGUCUAAUUCCCGAUAGGACUGCAGGGUGGUGCCUGUGGUGGAAAACGAUUUUCUAGUGGUUGGGGAUGAGCUCGCGGCCUAUCAGCUUGUUGGUGGGGUAAUGGCCUACCAAGGCGGCGACGGGUAGCCGGCCUGAGAGGGUGGACGGCCACAUUGGGACUGAGAUACGGCCCAGACGCCUACGGGAGGCAGCAGUGGGGAAUAUGGCACAAUGGGCGGAAGCCUGAUGCAGCGACGCCGCGUGGGGGAUGACGGCCUUCGGGUGGUAAACUCCUUUCGACCGCGAGGAAGCCACCUGGGUGGGAGGGUGGUGACGGUAGUGGUAGAAGAAGCACCGGCUAACUACGUG